GUUUAGACAAGUCGUAACUCUUCCGCUUUCCAAGCGUUUCUGUUCUUUUUUUUCAUCCCCUGAACCGUCUUCAUCAUCUCCACGCCCUACCCAGCGAUCUAAGGUUAAGAUCGAUGCCUCCGCUAUUGAAUAUCCAUUUAUUCGAAGAUGACUGUCUGUCGGUGAUGUUAUCUCUGCUACAGUUGUUGUAACGUCAGCCAGAUUUAGUAGGAUCUUGGACUUGGCCGCUCUUCUCAGGAGAUUGUUGGUCUUUUUCUCCGAUUCUAGGAUUUACCUAACGUUAAGAAGAACAUAUAAUUUAUGGGUAUCACUUUGAUGAAAAGCUGCACGUCUUAAUGAAUACCAUGGAGCUUUACGAGCAGGUGCCAUUGCGGAAGUUUGUGGUUUCGAAGUUGGACGUUGCACUAAUAUGUACAAGAGAACAGAUAGCCCUUUCAUCUUCCAACCAAAUCCCAAAGUUUUUGGAGGUAAUCUCGAUCUGAACUCCACCCCGGCGACCAAAUUUUAUUUGGACACCAACAUCCUUGCCAUCGAAGCUUUCACCAAUAGGUCAGUGUAAAGUGUUAUGCAAACAGAGCAUCACCAUAUUAUUCUACUUUUUAACCCACGCUUAGAUAACCAACUGCGUUUCAUUUGUACAUCGCUUCUGCUGUCUAUUGUCCAAUCAAUAUUAGCUAUAACUAUAUGGCAUGCUUGCUAAAAUAUAUCUUUGGACGCAUCUUGGGUGUUGCACCAACCAAGGCUUUCCCACGUAGAUGUUUCAAUAGCAGGCCUCCACACGUACAUAGCCACGUCAAACAACCAGGUUUCCAAAACUCUAUUUUCUAUCAUUUCUUAACUUUAAAAAUAAAACUUGUCCCACCUACUUUUUCUCCAUUGUCUCCGUAAAGACCCAGAAAGUUAACUUCCUUUUUAAAGCUUGGAAGUAUGCUACAACAGAAUGGUUGGUCGUACGUUUCUUGCACCGGUUGCAGCAGGAAGUUGGACAAAUCAUGGACUGCACCAUACCGCAACAAAUGUGUAUCACCCAAGAUCGCCGGGGUUUUAAGGUAACAAAGAGUCCUACAUAAUCAUACCUAUCCAAGUUUAAAUAAGACUUGGACGUAAACGUAAACUCCUCAUGUAUCACUUUGAGUUGGCUGUUGACGAUGGCCAUGAAAAGUAAUACGUUUGUUGUCAGUCCAAGAGGACAAAAAAAAAAU